rnacentral:rRNA from 1 species
GACGAACGCUGGCGGCGUGCUUAACACAUGCAAGUCGAACGGAAAGGCCCUGCUUUUGUGGGGUGCUCGAGUGGCGAACGGGUGAGUAACACGUGAGUAACCUGCCCUUGACUUUGGGAUAACUUCAGGAAACUGGGGCUAAUACCGGAUAGGAGCUCCUGCUGCAUGGUGGGGGUUGGAAAGUUUCGGCGGUUGGGGAUGGACUCGCGGCUUAUCAGCUUGUUGGUGGGGUAGUGGCUUACCAAGGCUUUGACGGGUAGCCGGCCUGAGAGGGUGACCGGCCACUUUGGGCCGGAGCGCCGGCCCGGCCUCCUCCGGGAGGCGGCGGGGGGAAAUAUGGCACAAGGGGCGGAGGCCUGAGCCCGCAGCCCCGGGUGGGGGAGGGCGGCCUUGGGUUUGUAACCCGCUUCCGCCUGUGACGAGGGGUGAGUGCGGGUAAUGGAUAAAAAACCCCGGCCUAACUACGCC